GUACACUCCUCCGGGAGGCAGCAGUGGGGAAUAUUGCACAAUGGGCGCAAGCCUGAUGCAGCCAUGCCGCGUGUAUGAAGAAGGCCUUCGGGUUGUAAAGUACUUUCAGCGGGGAGGAAGGCGAUAAGGUUAAUAACCUUGUUGAUUGACGUUACCCGCAGAAGAAGCACCGGCUAACUCCGUGCCAGCAGCCGCGGUAAUACGGAGGGUGCAAGCGUUAAUCGGAAUUACUGGGCGUAAAGCGCACGCAGGCGGUCUGUCAAGUCGGAUGUGAAAUCCCCGGGCUCAACCUGGGAACUGCAUGCGAAACUGGCAGGCUAGAGUCUUGUAGAGGGGGGUAGAAUUCCAGGUGUAGCGGUGAAAUGCGUAGAGAUCUGGAGGAAUACCGGUGGCGAAGGCGGCCCCCUGGACAAAGACUGACGCUCAGGUGCGAAAGCGUGGGGAGCAAACAGGAUUAGAAACCCGAGUAGUCCC
rnacentral:rRNA from 1 species